rnacentral:rRNA from 1 species
UACGGGGGGGGCAAGCGUUGUUCGGAAUUACUGGGCGUAAAGGGUUCGUAGGUGGCCUACUAAGUCAGACGUGAAAUCCCUCAGCUCAACUGGGGAACUGCGCCUGAGACUGGAAGGCUUGAGUGCAGGAGAGGAACGCGGAAUUCCAGGUGUAGCGGUGAAAUGCGUAGAUAUCUGGAGGAACACCGGUGGCGAAGGCGGCGUUCUGGACUGUUACUGACACUGAGGAACGAAAGCCAGGGGAGCAAACGGG